GAUGAAGAACGUAGCAAAAUGCGAUACUUGGUGUGAAUUGCAGAAUCCCGUGAACCAUCGAGUUUUUGAACGCAAGUUGCGCCCGAAGCCAUUAGGCCGAGGGCACGCCUGCCUGGGCGUCACACGUCGUUGCCCCCCCAUCUACUCCUUCGGGAUUGCGGGGGGCGGAUGAUGGCCUCCCGUGCGCCUCGUCGCGCGGUUGGCAUAAAUACCAAGUCCUCGGCGACGCACGCCACGACAAUCGGUGGUUGCGAAACCUCGGUUGCCCGUCGUGUGCGGUCGUCGCGCAUCGAGGGCUCGAAAAAAUUGCCGGGCUCCGGCUCGGCUUUCAACGCGACCCCAGGUCAGGCGGGGUUACCCGCUGAAUUUAAGCAUAUCAAUAAGCGGAGGA
rnacentral:misc_RNA from 1 species